GUCCAACAUGGCGGCGGGAGAACAAAGCCAUGGGGGGAUCUGUUGCUAUGGGGCGUUCUAUUGAGUGUCACCUCUUGGUGCUACAUUCUCUUUGCUUCCAAAAUGCAGU